AUUGAACGCUGGCGGCAGGCCUAACACAUGCAAGUCGAACGGUAACAGGAAACAGCUUGCUGUUUCGCUGACGAGUGGCGGACGGGUGAGUAAUGUCUGGGAAACUGCCUGAUGGAGGGGGAUAACUACUGGAAACGGUAGCUAAUACCGCAUAACGUCGCAAGACCAAAGAGGGGGACCUUCGGGCCUCUUGCCAUCGGAUGUGCCCAGAUGGGAUUAGCUAGUUGGUGGGGUAACGGCUCACCAAGGCUACGAUCCCUAGCUGGUCUGAGGGGAUGACCAGCCACACUGGAACUGAGAAACGGUACAGACUCCUACGGGAGGCAGCAGUGGGGAAUAUUGCACAAUGGGCGCAAGCCUGAUGCAGCCAUGCCGCGUGUAUGAAGAAGGCCUUCGGGUUGUAAAGUACUUUCAGCGGGGAGGAAGGGAGUAAAGUUAAUACCUUUGCUCAUUGACGUUACCCGCAGAAGAAGCACCGGCUAACUCCGUGCCAGCCGCCGCCGUAA
rnacentral:rRNA from 1 species